AUCCUACUGCUUAACGGUAGGAAUUCUGGGGAUACUGCCAGACUCGAGGUCGAGAGAGGUCGGAGGUACUUCUGGGGUAGCGGUGAAAUGCUAUAAUCCUAGGGGGACCACCAGUGGCGAAAGCGUCCGACCAGAGCGUGCCUGACGGUGAGGGACGAAAGCCAGGGGCGCGAACGGGAUUAGAUACCCCGGUAGUCCUGGCCGUAAACGCUGUGGGCUAGGUGUUGCAUGCUCUACGAGGGCAUGCAGUGCCGAAGAGAAGUUGAUAAGCCUACCGCCUGGGAAGUACUAUCGCAAGAUAGAAACUUAAAGGAAUUGGCGGGGGAGCACCACAAGGGGUGAAGUCUGCGGUUCAAUUGGAUUCAACGCCGGAAAACUCACUGGAAGCGACGGCAGUAUGAUGGCCAGGUUGAUGGCCUUGCCUGACGAGCCGAGAGGAGGUGCAUGGCCGUCGUCAGCUCGUACCGUAAGGCGUCCUGUUAAGUCAGGCAACGAGCGAGACCCGUACCCUUAUUUGUCAGCUGACUCCUUCUGGGGUCAGGACCCAUUAAGGGGACCGCUGCUGAUAAAGCAGAGGAAGGGGCGAGCAACGAUAGGUCAGUAUGCCCCGAA
rnacentral:rRNA from 1 species